UUUCCGUAGGUGAACCUGCGGAAGGAUCAUUACUGAAGUGAGUCUUCAAUCAUUGAAGCUUCUUCCCAUUGUGCUGGCUUUGACCGUAUGUAAUGUUGGGGAUUAAACAUGGUUGAGCCAAAUCUUGGCCCUCCCCAACAAAUUAUCUUAUCCUUUAUUAAAUUGAACUCAACUCAUUUUGAGAUUACGUAAAAAAAUAACCUUUUAAUACAACUUUCAACAACGGAUCUCUUGGUUCUC
rnacentral:misc_RNA from 1 species